CCUACGGGUGGCUGCAGUAGGGAAUAUUGGGCAAUGGGCGGAAGCCUGACCCAGCCAUGCCGCGUGAAGGAAGACGGCCUUAUGGGUUGUAAACUUCUUUACUAUGCGACUAACUAGAUUUACGAGAUAAUUCUAUAGAAUGUAGCAUAGCAAAAAGCACCGGCUAACUACGUGCCAGCAGCCGCGGUAAGACGUAGGGGGCAAGCGUUACCCGGAAUUACUGGGCGUAAAGGGGGCGUAGGCGGUAAAAGAAGUCAUCUGUGAAAACCUAUUGCUCAACGAUAGGCUAGCGGAUGAAACUGAAUUACUUGAGGGCACCAGAGGUAGACGGAAUUACCCGAGUAGGGGUGAAAUCCGCAGAUACGGGUAGGAACGCCGGUGGAGAAGUCGGUCUACUGGGGUGUACCAGACGCUGAGGCCCGAAAGCUAGGGGAGCAAACCGGAUUAGAUACCCUGGUAGUC
rnacentral:rRNA from 1 species